UAUUGUACACCCAUUGUAAAUAAGAAUUUGUGGAAAAAAAAAAAGAGGUUUCUUCAUCUUGUUCUUCAGAUAGUUGCUGGUUCUUUCGCCGUGGUCGCAAUUUUAUCUCUCUAAUGUAUUUCAGAUUUGAUGAGGAAAUUCUCUCCUUUUCAUCCCACUUUUCUGCAUUAACAAACUCAAAUUAGGUUUAUGAUCUUGUCUAAUUUCUUCAGGUUUGUAUGUGAAACAAUUAAUUCAAUUAAUGAAAAAAUAAACCAUUUUUUUGUUUUGGUUGUGGAUUGGCAUGGUCGAGGUUUGAUAGAUCGACCGAAAUUUGAGUUUUUCCGAUGCUCUACUGCGCUCAAAUAAGGCAGCAAAUUCUUGAUAUUGCAGGUAAUCGGGUUCCUUCACUAAUUCUUGUUUACCCUGGGCUUUAAACCUUUAACUUAUGCCCCAGAAUUGAGAAUGUAAUUAAAUAUUCUGUUUACUUGGAUAUUAUGGAUUAUAAUUUUGAGGAGUUCAAUCAAACAAUUGGUGAUGAUAUCAAUUUAAUCAGAUGAUGGUUCUUUUUUAGCGAAAUUGCAUUGAAUCUUGUUUCCCGUAAAGUAUAAGCUUGUUUCACUCAUAUGUACUGCCACAAUUAGAAUUUUUAAAGAAACUUGCGUUUCUAACUAAUAGUGUCUCGUCUGUGUGAUUGAACAUGUUCAUUAUUCGUAGCUUUUUAUAACUAGUGUCUAGAAUUUUGUUGUUACAUAGAAGUUUAUAUUGAUCUACAUGCCAUGUUUUGCAUAAAAUUGGGUGGUUUAUGUGAUAAUGUUUCUAAUGAUAGGUAUGAGAGGUUAUGUGAGCUUAUCAUGCAAUGGUUAGUUUCAUUCUGUUGGUCUAGUUGAGAAGACAAGAAACAACUCUCACUAAGCUUUACUAAGAGUAUUGCUUUCUUUGACAACGAAUUCUCUUGUGCAGUCACCUAAUUCAUUUAGUUAAUCCCCUAAAGAAGAACAAGAAAGUUUCAUGGAGAGGGAUAGGGUUCUUCGGAUCUUCCCCUCAAUAAUUAGUACUUUUGAGUUUUAAAUUUUUAAUUAUGCAAUAUAUUCUAAUUAAUUGAUCUUUAGUUUUUGUUCUUAUCCAUGUCCAAAUUACGUAGUCAUAACAUCUAUAUCAUGAUCAACUAUGGUAUAAAUAUAUCCAUAUAGAGGAUAUACUUGACAAUGUAGAUGUGCUAGGUAGGUUUUGGAAUAUGGAUAUCGAUAUGGCAUCCUGAUCAUCAAGGAUAUGUACUACUACAUUAAGUUGGAAUCAUGUUACACUAACAUUGAUACACGGGGCAAGGAAAUAUCUAUGAAAAUGUUGAAGUGUCAUCCAAAAGUUGAGUUUGAAUUUAAAAGAAAAAUGGGAAAAUUGCUUGGCAUAGAAAUUGCUACAAGAGAUCAGUCCCCAAGUUGGCAGAGGUUGAAGCAGAGUUGUUCUUAUUCUUCCAGACUUCGAGUCUAAAAAUUGUAUUUAGUUCCUCUAUCUCUUCCACAUGUAUUGUUUAUGAGUAUGGGCUUCCUUUAUUUUCUUUAUUAAUACUUAUACGUAUUAGUAACGAUUUUACUGUAAUUGAUGGGUUUUUGGUGUUUUCAGCAAAAUGCUUAUGUCACAAACCUAGCUCUAUCAAGUAUUUUUAUUCUCCCAUUACUGCUUCUUAGAUUGAGAAAGAGCUUAAAAAGGCAGGUUAUUUGUAUCUUCUUCCUUAUUUUUCCACUAGUAUUGUGCAGGUACCAAGUGAGCAUCACGACUAUCUUUGUCAAUACCUCUCAGUCUCAGAUCAUUUUUUUAUCUGAUAUAAUAGGCUUCUGCUCUUUCAUGUGUAGUUGCUCGCUUUUGUGUAUAUAUGGAAGAAAGUGGGAAAAUAUUGAUGGGAAAGAGACACAGGAAAAAAAGUGCGAAAAGUGUGAAGAUGGCACGGGAAGGCGACGAAUAUUAAUUCAGUUAUUUUUAUCCAACUUAUGCAUCAGAGAAGAACUACAGACUUCAACUAGAUAUGGUGAUACCUCCGACUUAAGCUGUUGUAAACUGAAUGUCAUAAAUAAAUAGUUGAUGAAUAAUUUUUUAGCUUUCAUUAGUACUUUGGAUAAUCGAGUGAUUCAAUUUAAUUUGUAAUUUUUUCUAAGGGCAGCGUCAUGUAUGUAUGUACUCUUAAUUUCUAUAUAUCAAUAAAAAUUCUCUUUAUACGUCAAUAA